rnacentral:lncRNA from 1 species
CAACAGGUAAUACUAUGAAGUAUACUAUAUGUCCCAAAGUCCAACACAUAUCUAGUAUGUACUAUCAUGGCAAUUAAGGGUACUACAAUUCCCAAUGUCAACUGAAUCCAACUACGAUAUACAAUCAAGUAGUGUUUAUCUCUUAUUGUUUACUGUUCUAGUCAAUGUCCACAUGGCAUGUCACUACUUUAAGGUUCCAAUCUUGUAAGACCCGCCCGUAGGCUGUCUGGACUGAAGACCCAUCCGUAGGCUGUCUGGCC